CCUUAUUUUGGUCAGCGCCGGGGCGUCGACGACUAGAGGGGCAUGGCGCUGUGGCUCUUGCGCGCCGCUCGGAAGCGCCACCGGUGGGCACCGCCCGCCGACCUCUCCUCCCUCUUCCCCUUCUCCUCUCCGCGUCAGAACCCCAACAAGCCCUUCACCGGCCCCCGUGAGCUCGGAGCUCCGAUCCCGCCGCGUAGGCACCCCCGCUCGUGGCCGCCGCGGCCGCCGACGCUCCUCGAUGGACUCCCCCGUUCUCUGUCACUCGCUUCGAUAUACGGAGCCUCCGGGAGCACCCCGGAGGAUGGUGGGCCCCGGUCGCCUGACGGUGAAGCCGGAACGGCGGCCCCGCCGUCGUGGGUCGAUGCGUACUUGCCGGUGUCGGUGCGUCCGUAUGCUCUCCUCGCGCGGCUAGAUAAGCCUAUCGGGACUUGGCUGCUGGCCUGGCCCUGCGGAUGGUCAAUUACUCUGGCAGCAACCCCUGGAAACCUCCCUGACAUUAAGAUGUUGGCUUUGUUUGGUUGUGGAGCUGUGCUUCUAAGAGGUGCUGGUUGCACUGUGAAUGACCUCCUUGACCGUGACAUUGAUAUUAAGGUUGAAAGAACAAAAUAUAGGCCAAUUGCAUGUGGUGUUUUGACACCAUUUCGAGGUCUUUGCUUUCUUGGUUUUCAACUUCUAUUGGGUUUAGGAAUUUUGCUACAACUCAAUAAUUACAGCCGUAUUCUUGGUGCAUCAUCUCUGUUGCUGGUUUUCUCAUAUCCUCUUAUGAAGAGACUGACAUUUUGGCCUCAAGCAUACUUAGGUUUGACCUUCAAUUGGGGAGCUUUGUUAGGCUGGGCUGCUGUCAAAGAAAGCUUAGAUCCUGCAAUUGUCCUGCCAAUGUAUGGUGCUGGUGUCUGUUGGACACUUGUAUAUGAUACGAUAUAUGCACAUCAGGAUAAGGAAGAUGACCAAAAGGUGGGUGUUAAAUCAACGGCAUUGAGGUUUGGAAGUUCCACGAAGUACUGGAUUACAGGAUUUGGAAUUGCAUGCAUAAGUAAUCUAGCUCUCAGCGGAUAUAAUGCAGAGCUUGCAUGGCCAUUUUAUCCAUUUCUCGUAGCUGCUGCUGGGCAAUUAGGAUGGCAGAUAUUGACUGUUGACUUGUCUAAUCGUGCAGAUUGUAACAGAAAAUUUGUUUCAAACAAGUGGUUCGGAGCUCUUGUAUUCAGCGGAAUCUUAUUCGGUCGUCUAGCUUCAUGAAGGUUUCUAAUGGACUGGUACUGCUGGCUGAAGUUAGCAAUCGUUAUGUGAGUACUAUAUGGGCAAUGUGGGUUCAAGGCUUCAUAACAUGGGAGAAUGAUGGCUGUUCAAUGCCUCCUGAUCUCAAUCCCAAUUCGAGUUGGUAGACAGUUUUGCAUCCCAAAUUUUGUAUAUUACCUUAAUGUUCAACUAUUUUAUGAGGGUACUAAAAUAUGUUAGGUUCAGCAAAUUGUAUCGUAAUAGUCGUCCGUUUUCAUUCAAUCAUUAAAAUUUAAACUUUGUAAUUAUACUUUUACAAUGCUUUCGUGUAUUGUUUUAACUCAUAAUGUCACAUUUGAAAUUAAAUUCUUAUUAUAAUUUGAUUGCGAGUU